rnacentral:rRNA from 1 species
UGGGGAAUAUUGCACAAUGGGCGCAAGCCUGAUGCAGCCAUGCCGCGUGUGUGAAGAAGGCCUUCGGGUUGUAAAGCACUUUCAGCGGGGAGGAAGGCGGUGAGGUUAAUAACCUCACCGAUUGACGUUACCCGCAGAAGAAGCACCGGCUAACUCCGUGCCAGCAGCCGCGGUAAUACGGAGGGUGCAAGCGUUAAUCGGAAUUACUGGGCGUAAAGCGCACGCAGGCGGUCUGUCAAGUCGGAUGUGAAAUCCCCGGGCUCAACCUGGGAACUGCAUUCGAAACUGGCAGGCUAGAGUCUUGUAGAGGGGGGUAGAAUUCCAGGUGUAGAGGUGAAAUGCGUAGAGAUCUGGAGGAAUACCGGUGGCGAAGGCGGCCCCCUGGACAAAGACUGACGCUCAGGUGCGAAAGCGUGGGGAGCAAACAGG